CCGAGGCGGGAUAACAUGCAGUCGACGAUGAUGCCCGCUUGCUGGUGGAUUAGUGGCGAACGGGUGAGUAACACGUGAGUAACCUGCCCUUGACUCUGGGAUAAGCCUGGGAAACUGGGUCUAAUACCGGAUAUGACCUUCCAUCGCAUGGUGGUUGGUGGAAAGCUUUUGUGGUUUUGGAUGGACUCGCGGCCUAUCAGCUUGUUGGUGGGGUAAUGGCCUACCAAGGCGACGACGGGUAGCCGGCCUGAGAGGGUGACCGGCCACACUGGGACUGAGACACGGCCCAGACUCCUACGGGAGGCAGCAGUGGGGAAUAUUGCACAAUGGGCGCAAGCCUGAUGCAGCGACGCCGCGUGAGGGAUGACGGCCUUCGGGUUGUAAACCUCUUUCAGUAGGGAAGAAGCGAAAGUGACGGUACCUGCAGAAGAAGCGCCGGCUAACUACGUGCCAGCACCGCCCGGUAAUAAAA
rnacentral:rRNA from 1 species